rnacentral:rRNA from 1 species
CGCCCUUAGAGUUUGAUCAUGGCUCAGAUUGAACGCUGGCGGCAGGCCUAACACAUGCAAGUCGAACGGUAAGAGAGCUUGCUCUUGACGAGUGGCGGACGGGUGAGUAAUGUCUGGGAAACUGCCCGAUGGAGGGGGAUAACUACUGGAAACGGUAGCUAAUACCGCAUAACGUCUUCGGACCAAAGUGGUUAGUCACACCAUCGGAUGUGCCCAGAUGGGAUUAGCUAGUAGGUGGGGUAAAGGCUCACCUAGGCGACGAUCUCUAGCUGGUCUGAGAGGAUGACCAGCCACACUGGAACUGAGACACGGUCCAGACUCCUACGGGAGGCAGCAGUGGGGAAUAUUGCACAAUGGGCGCAAGCCUGAUGCAGCCAUGCCGCGUGUAUGAAGAAGGCCUUAGGGUUGUAAAGUACUUUCAGCGGGGAGGAAGGGCGAUGCGUAAUCGCGUCGAUCGACGUUACCCGCAGAAGAAGCACCGGCUAACUCCCUGCCAGCAGCCGCGGUAAUACGGAGGGUGCUAG